UCCCCGUUGCCGGGGCAGUCUAGCUAGAAAAAUUCAACUAACUAUAAGGGUUGCGCUCGUUAAUGGACUUAACCAAACAUCUCACGACACGAGCUGACGACGGCCAUGCAGUAUCUGUCUCUGCGGCCCGAAGGCACACUUUCCUUUCGGAAAGCUUGGCAGGAUGUCAAACCCUGGUAAGGUUCUACGUUUACCAUCGGAUUAAACAACACGCUCCACCGCUUGUGCGGGUCCCCGUCAAUUCCUUUAUGUUUUAAGCUUGCGCUCGUACUCCACAGGCGGCUUGCUUAACGCGUUAGCUUCGCUACUACCAGGGUCGAUACUGAUAACAGCUAGCAAGCAUAGUUUACGGCGUGGACUAC
rnacentral:misc_RNA from 1 species